AGUGAACGCUGGCGGCAGGCCUAACACAUGCAAGUCGAACGGCAGCACAGGAGAGCUUGCUCUCUGGGUGGCGAGUGGCGGACGGGUGAGGAAUACAUCGGCAUCUACCUUGUCGUGGGGGAUAACGUAGGGAAACUUACGCUAAUACCGCAUACGACCUUCGGGUGAAAGCAGGGGACCUUCGGGCCUUGCGCGAUUAGAUGAGCCGAUGUCGGAUUAGCUAGUUGGCGGGGUAAAGGCCCACCAAGGCGACGAUCCGUAGCUGGUCUGAGAGGAUGAUCAGCCACACGGGAACUGAGACACGGUCCAGACUCCUACGGGAGGCAGCAGUGGGGAAUAUUGGACAAUGGGCGCAAGCCUGAUCCAGCCAUGCCGCGUGGGUGAAGAAGGCCUUCGGGUUGUAAAGCCCUUUUGUUGGGAAAGAAAAGCAGUCGGCCAAUACCCGAUUGUUCUGACGGUACCCAAAGAAUAAGCACCGGCUAACUUCGUGCCAGCCGCCGCGGUAACAC
rnacentral:rRNA from 1 species